rnacentral:rRNA from 1 species
CGACGAGCGAGAGAGAGCUUGCUUUCUCGAGCGAGUGGCGAACGGGUGAGUAACGCGUGAGGAACCUGCCUCAAAGAGGGGGACAACAGUUGGAAACGACUGCUAAUACUGCAUAAGCCCACGGGUCGGCAUCGACCAGAGGGAAAAGGAGCAAUCCGCUUUGAGAUGGCCUCGCGUCCGAUUAGCUAGUUGGUGAGGUAACGGCCCACCAAGGCAACGAUCGGUAGCCGGACUGAGAGGUUGAACGGCCACAUUGGGACUGAGACACGGCCCAGACUCCUACGGGAGGCAGCAGUGGGGAAUAUUGCACAAUGGGGGAAACCCUGAUGCAGCGACGCCGCGUGGAGGAAGAAGGUCUUCGGAUUGUAAACUCCUGUUGUUGGGGAAGAUAAUGACGGUACCCAACAAGGAAGUGACGGCUAACUACGUGCCAGCAGCCGCGGUAAAACGUAGGUCACAAGCGUUGUCCGGAAUUACUGGGUGUAAAGGGAGCGCAGGCGGGAAGACAAGUUGGAAGUGAAAUCUAUGGGCUCAACCCAUAAACUGUUUUCAAAACUGUUUUUCUUGAGUAGUGCAGAGGUAGGCGGAAUUCCCGGUGUAGCGGUGGAAUGCGUAGAUAUCGGGAGGAACACCAGUGGCGAAGGCGGCCUACUGGGCACCAACUGACGCUGAGGCUCGAAAGUGUGGGUAGCAAACAGGAUUAGAUACCCUGGUAGUCCACACCGUAAACGAUGAUUACUAGGUGUUGGAGGAUUGACCCCUUCAGUGCCGCAGUUAACACAAUAAGUAAUCCA